rnacentral:tRNA from 1 species
UAGCGGCGUAGCUCAGUGGGGAGAGCAAUACCUUGACAGGGUAGAGGUCGGAGGUUCGAUUCCUUCUGCCCCUAGCCA